UACGUAGGGUGCAAGCGUUAAUCGGAUUUACUGGGCGUAAAGGGCGCGUAGGCGGCGUGACAAGUCACUUGUGAAAUCUCUGGCUUAACCCAGAACGGCCAAGUGAAACUGUUGUGCUAGAGUGCAGAAGGGGCAAUCGGAAUUCUCGGUGUAGCGGUGAAAUGCGUAGAUAUCGAGAGGAACACCAGAGGUGAAGACGGGUUGCUGGGCUGACACUGACGCUGAGGCGCGAAAGCCAGGGGAGCAAACGGG
rnacentral:rRNA from 1 species